rnacentral:misc_RNA from 1 species
GUCCUCCUGCAAGCUGAGAAUUAGCAGAACUGAAGCAGCAUAAGUUAUCCAUAAAAAGUAACUACUCCUCUACUAAUUAACAUCAAUUUUAUAUAAUCCCUAAAACAGACAACCUUGCAGUAUUACCAAAGUGUUCAAUGAUAUGGGUAUGCGUACCAGUUGACUUUUCUGUUGAUUAAACAGACAAAGUGUUUAUAUGGAGGUUGUGUUUUCGUCGUUGAAGAACAAGGUCUUCG